AGCGGCGGACGGGUGAGUAACGCGUGGGUAACCUGCCUCAUACAGGGGGAUAACAGUUGGAAACGGCUGCUAAUACCGCAUAAGCGCACAGUACCGCAUGGUACCGUGUGAAAAACUCCGGUGGUAUGAGAUGGACCCGCGUCUGAUUAGCUAGUUGGUGGGGUAACGGCCUACCAAGGCGACGAUCAGUAGCCGACCUGAGAGGGUGACCGACCACAUUGGGACUGAGACACGGCCCAA
rnacentral:rRNA from 1 species